rnacentral:rRNA from 1 species
AUUGAACGCUGGCGGCAGGCCUAACACAUGCAAGUCGAACGGUAACAGGAAGCAGCUUGCUGCUUCGCUGACGAGUGGCGGACGGGUGAGUAAUGUCUGGGAAACUGCCUGAUGGAGGGGGAUAACUACUGGAAACGGUAGCUAAUACCGCAUAACGUCGCAAGACCAAAGAGGGGGACCUUAGGGCCUCUUGCCAUCGGAUGGGCCCAGAUGGGAUUAGCUAGUAGGUGGGGUAACGGCUCACCUAGGCGACGAUCCCUAGCUGGUCUGAGAGGAUGACCAGCCACACUGGAACUGAGACACGGUCCAGACUCCUACGGGAGGCAGCAGUGGGGAAUAUUGCACAAUGGGCGCAAGCCUGAUGCAGCCAUGCCGCGUGUAUGAAGAAGGCCUUCGGGUUGUAAAGUACUUUCAGCGGGGAGGAAGGGAGUAAAGUUAAUACCUUUGCUCAUUGACGUUACCCGCAGAAGAAGCACCGGCUAACUCCGUG